GACGAACGCUGGCGGCGUGCUUAACACAUGCAAGUCGAACGGUGAAGCGCCUUCCUUUUUGGUGGGUGUGGAUGAGUGGCGAACGGGUGAGUAACACGUGAGUAACCUGCCCCCUUCUUCUGGAUAACCGCAUGAAAGUGUGGCUAAUACGGGAUAUUCUGGGUCUGUGGCAUGUUGGGUGUGGGAAAGAUAUUGUUUCGGUGGGGGAUGUGCUCGCGGCCUAUCAGCUUGGUGGUGUGGUGAUGGCCUACCAGGGCGGUGCCGGGUAGCCGGCCUGAGGGGGUGGGCGGGCACAGUGGGACUGAGACACGGCGCAGGCUCCUAGGGGAGGCAGCCGUGGGGAAGAUGGCGCGAGGGGUGCAAGCCUGAGGCAGCGAGGCCGAGGGAGGGAUGGAGGCCUUCGGGUUGUGGACCUCUUUCGGCAGUGAAGCAUGGCUGCGUAGUUUGUGGGUGGGUGGAGGGUAGCUGGAUAAGAAGCGCCGGCUAAUUACGU
rnacentral:rRNA from 1 species